rnacentral:rRNA from 1 species
AUGCAGCCGGACGCGAGCGGCAACGCUGGCGGCGGCGGCGCGAAUCCGAGGCCGAAGCUGCCGCCGGUGGCCGUCGCGCCGGCGCCGUCCGGGCGGCCGGCGUCCGUGCUGCCGCACAAGACGGCCAACGUGCGGGACCACUACCGCAUCGGCAAGAAGCUGGGGCAGGGGCAGUUCGGCACCACCUACCUGUGCGUGGCCAAGGAGGACGGCGGCGAGUUCGCGUGCAAGUCCAUCCCCAAGCGCAAGCUGCUGUGCCGCGAGGACUACGAGGACGUCUGGCGCGAGAUCCAGAUCAUGCACCACCUCUCGGAGCACCCCAACGUCGUCCGCAUCCGUGGCGCCUACGAGGACGCGCUCUUCGUGCACAUUGUCAUGGAGCUCUGCGCCGGCGGGGAGCUCUUCGACCGCAUCGUGGCCAAGGGGCACUACACCGAGCGUGCCGCAGCGCAGCUCAUCAGGACAAUCGUUGGGGUCGUAGAGGCAUGCCACUCGCUCGGCGUCAUGCACCGGGACCUCAAGCCGGAGAACUUCCUGUUUGCCAGCACUGCCGAGGACGCCCCACUCAAGACCACCGAUUUUGGGCUAUCCAUGUUCUACAAGCCCGGUGACAAAUUCUCUGAUGUUGUUGGGAGCCCCUACUAUGUUGCACCUGAGGUGCUUCAGAAAUGCUAUGGUCCAGAAGCUGAUGUCUGGAGUGCUGGGGUGAUUCUGUACAUUUUGCUAUGUGGUGUCCCCCCUUUCUGGGCAGAAACUGAAGCAGGAAUCUUCAGACAGAUCCUUCGAGGCAAACUUGAUUUUGAGUCUGAGCCCUGGCCUAGUAUCUCUGACAGCGCUAAAGAUCUAGUCCGUACUAUGCUUUGCAGGGAUCCUACAAAGCGACUCUCUGCUCAUGAGGUUCUUUGUCACCCAUGGAUUGUUGAUGAUGCUGUGGCGCCUGAUAAGCCUAUUGAUUCUGCUGUUUUGUCAAGACUGAAGCAUUUUUCUGCAAUGAACAAGCUCAAGAAGAUGGCAUUGAGGGUUAUUGCUGAAAGCCUAUCUGAGGAAGAGAUUGGAGGUCUAAGGGAGCUGUUCAAAAUGAUUGAUGCCGACAAUAGUGGAACUAUAACAUUUGAUGAGCUGAAAGAUGGCUUGAAAAGGGUGGGCUCAGAGCUAACCGAACAUGAAAUCCAGGCUUUAAUGGAUGCGGCGGACAUCGACAACAGCGGAACGAUUGAUUAUGGUGAAUUCAUCGCAGCUACAUUGCACAUGAAUAAACUAGAGAGGGAGGAGAACUUGGUGUCAGCAUUCUCGUUUUUUGACAAGGAUGGAAGUGGAUUCAUCACCAUCGAUGAGCUAUCACAUGCAUGCCGCAAAUUUGGUCUGGAUGAUGUUCACCUUGAGGAUAUGAUCAAAGAUGUCGAUCAGAACAAUGACGGGCAAAUCGAUUACAGUGAGUUCACAGCGAUGAUGAGAAAGGGUAAUGCCAGCGCAACAGGGAGGCGAACCAUGAGGAACAGCUUGAAUCUGAAUCUCGGCGACAUCUUGAAUCCCAGCAACAGCUAA